GGGAUUGUAGCUCAGUGGCAGAGCUUUUGCCUCACAAGCGUUAGGCCCUGGAUUCGAUCCCCAGCACCA
rnacentral:tRNA from 1 species